rfam:Felis catus isolate Cinnamon breed Abyssinian chromosome X, whole genome shotgun sequence.
GCUCAGCUGGUUAAGUGUCCGACUCUUGAUUUCGGCUCAGGUCAUGAUCUCACAGUUCGUGGGUUCGAGCCCCGCGUUGGGCU